AGUAACGCGUGAGGAACCUGCCUCAAAGAGGGGACAACAGUUGGAAACGACUGCUAAUACCGCAUAAGCCCACGGCUCGGCAUCGAGCAGAGGGAAAAGGAGCAAUCCGCUUUGAGAUGGCCUCGCGUCCGAUUAGCUAGUUGGUGAGGUAAUGGCCCACCAAGGCAACGAUCGGUAGCCGGACUGAGAGGUUGAACGGCCACAUUGGGACUGAGACACGGCCCAG
rnacentral:rRNA from 1 species